AAAACGGCCCUUUUCAGGGCCGUUUUAUUAUUUCAGAAUUUUAUUAU
rfam:Stegodyphus mimosarum contig57800, whole genome shotgun sequence.